rnacentral:rRNA from 1 species
AGAGUUUGAUCCUGGCUCAGGAUGAACGCUGGCGGCGUGCUUAACACAUGCAAGUCGAACGUGAGGGAGUAGCAAUAUCCUUGAAAGUGGCGCACGGGUGAGUAAUACGUAGGUAACCUGCCCUGAAGAGGGGGAUAACAGCUGGAAACGGCUGCUAAAACCGCAUGACACCGGAUGCUCGGGAGGGCGACUGGUGGAAGCUCUGGUGCUUCAGGAGGGGCCUGCGGCCGAUUAGCUAGUUGGCGGGGUAAUGGCCCACCAAGGCAGUGAUCGGUAGCUGGUCUGAGAGGACGAUCAGCCACACUGGUACUGAGACACGGACCAGACUCCUACGGGAGGCAGCAGUAAGGAAUAUUGGUCAAUGGGCGCAAGCCUGAACCAGCCAUGCCGCGUGCAGGAAGACGGCCCUAUGGGUUGUAAACUGCUUUUGUCAGGGAAUAAACCUGUCUACGAGUAGGCAGCUGAAGGUACCUGAAGAAUAAGCAUCGGCUAACUCCGUGCCAGCAGCCGCGGUAAUACGGAGGAUGCAAGCGUUAUUCGGAUUCAUUGGGUUUAAAGGGUGCGCAGGCGGAUUGAUAAGUCAGGGGUGAAAUCCCACAGCUCAACUGUGGAACUGCCCUUGAUGCUGUUAGUCUAGAGUAUAGUUGAAGUUGGCGGAAUGUGUCAUGUAGCGGUGAAAUGCUUAGAUAUGACACAGAACACCGAUCGCGAAGGCAGCUAGCUAAGCUAUAACUGACGCUCAUGCACGAAAGCGUGGGGAUCAAACAGGAUUAGAUACCCCGGUAGU